AUUGAACGCUGGCGGCAGGCCUAACACAUGCAAGUCGAACGAGUGGCGGACGGGUGAGUAAUGUCUGGGAAACUGCCUGAUGGAGGGGGAUAACUACUGGUAACUGUAGCUAAUACCGCAUACCAUCAGAUGUGCCCAGAUGGGAUUCGCUAGUUGGUGGGGUAACGGCUCACCAAGGCGACGAUCCCUAGCUGGUCUGAGAGGAUGACCAGCGACACUGUAACUAAGACACGGUCCAUACUCCUACGGGAGGCAGCAGUGGGGAAUAUUGCACAAUGGGCGCAAGCCUGAUGCAGCCAUGCCGCGUGUAUGAAGAAGGCCUUCGGGUUGUAAAGUACUUUCAGCGGGGAGGCGUUACCCGCAGAAGAAGCACCGGCUAACUCCGUGCCAGCCGCCGCGGUAAGAC
rnacentral:rRNA from 1 species